rnacentral:rRNA from 1 species
ACGGGUGAGUAACACGUGGGCAACCUGCCCUUGAGACUGGGAUAACUUCGGGAAACCGGAGCUAAUACCGGAUAAUACAAGGAACCUCCUGGUUCCUUGUUGAAAGAUGGUUUCGGCUAUCACUUAAGGAUGGGCCCGCGGCGCAUUAGCUAGUUGGUGAGGUAACGGCUCACCAAGGCGACGAUGCGUAGCCGACCUGAGAGGGUGAUCGGCCACACUGGGACUGAGACACGGCCCAGACUCCUACGGGAGGCAGCAGUAGGGAAUCUUCCACAAUGGACGAAAGUCUGAUGGAGCAACGCCGCGUGAGUGAUGAAGGCCUUCGGGUCGUAAAGCUCUGUUGUUAGGGAAGAACAAGUGCGAGAGUAACUGCUCGCACCUUGACGGUACCUAACCAGAAAGCCACGGCUAACUACGUGCCAGCAGCCGCGGUAAUACGUAGGUGGCAAGCGUUAUCCGGAAUUAUUGGGCGUAAAGCGCGCGCAGGCGGUUUCUUAAGUCUGAUGUGAAAGCCCACGGCUCAACCGUGGAGGGUCAUUGGAAACUGGGGAACUUGAGUGCAGAAGAGGAAAGUGGAAUUCCAAGU